rnacentral:rRNA from 1 species
GUCAGCACGGCCCUUAUGUCCAGGGCUACACACGUGUUACAAUGGUCGGUACAGAGGGCAGCUACCUGGUGACAGGAUGCUAAUCUCGAAAACCGGUCUCAGUUCGGAUCGAAGUCUGCAACUCGACUUCGUGAAGCUGGAUUCGCUAGUAAUCGCGCAUCAGCUAUGGCGCGGUGAAUACGUUCCCGGGCCUU